GCCGAAAAUGAUGGGGACUAAGUAAUUUGCCGAAACUGUGCGAUAUAUUUUGUUAUAUCGGUAGGGGAGCGUUCUGUUGUAGGUAGAAGUAUUAGCGGAAGCGGGUAUGGACGAAGCAGAAGUGAGAAUGUCGGCUUGAGUAACGAANAUAUAGGUGAGAAUCCUAUACCCCGAAAACCCAAGGUUUCCUCCGGAAGGCUCGUCCGCGGAGGGUAAGUCAGGGCCUAAGGCGAGGCUGAAAAGCGUAGUCGAUGGAUAACGGGUUAAUAUUCCCGUACCGUUUUUUAUUGAUAUCGAGGGACGGAGAAGGCUAAGCUAUCCAGAUAUUGGUUACUGGUUUAAACGUUCAAGAUGUUGAGAAGUGGAGAAAACACUUUGAGUUGAGACGUGAUGACGAAACGCUAAGGCGUUGAAGUAGUGUAUGUCAAACUUCCAAGAAAAGCUCGGAAUAUUAUAAAUAAAAAAUGCCUGUACCAUAACCGACACAGGUGGGUAGGUAGAGAAUACUAAGGGGCGCGAGAUAACUCUCUCUAAGGAACUCGGCAAAAUAACUCCGUAACUUCGGGAGAAGGAGUGCCUUAUUUAUAAGGUUGCAAUAACAAGAUCCAAGCAACUGUUUAUCAAAAACACAGGUCUCCGCUAAGUUGUAAGACGAUGUAUGGGGGCUGACGCCUGCCCAGUGCCAGAAGGUUAAAGAAGUUGGUUAGUGUAUGCGAAGCUGAUAACUGAAGCCCUGGUGAACGGCGGCCGUAACUAUAACGGUCCUAAGGUAGCGAAAUUCCUUGUCGGGUAAGUUCCGACCCGCACGAAAGGCGUAAUGAUUUGGAUACUGUCUCGGAGAGAGGCUCGGUGAAAUAGACUUGUCUGUGAAGAUGCGGACUACCUGCACCAGGACAGAAAGACCCUAUGAAGCUUUACUGUAACUUGAAAUUGGAAUUGGACUUUACUUGCGCAGUAUAGGUGGGAAGCGUUGAAAAUAUUCUUGCGGGAAUAUUAGAGCUAUCAGUGAGAUACCACUCUUGUAAUGUUAGAUUUCUAACUUUUAACCAUUAUCUGGUAAAAGAACAGUUUCAGGUGGGCAGUUUGACUGGGGCGGUCGCCUCCCAAAUGGUAACGGAGGCGUACAAAGGUUUCCUCUGAACGGGUAGAAAUCGUAUCUAGAGUGUAAAGGCAUAAGGAAGCUUGACUGUGAGACCUACAAGUCGAGCAGGGACGAAAGUCGGUCUUAGUGAUCUGACGGUACUGAGUGGAAAGGCCGUCACUCAACGGAUAAAAGUUACUCUAGGGAUAACAGGCUGAUCUCCCCCAAGAGUUCACAUCGACGGGGAGGUUUGGCACCUCGAUGUCGGCUCAUCGCAUCCUGGGGCUGGAGAAGGUCCCAAGGGUUGGGCUGUUCGCCCAUUAAAGUGGCACGCGAGCUGGGUUCAGAACGUCGCAAGACAGUUCGGUCCCUAUCUGUUGUGGGCGUUUGAGAUUUGAGGAGAUCUGACUCUAGUACGAGAGGACCGGGUCGGACUGACCUCUAGUGUACCUGUUAUGGCGCCAGCUGUAUCGCAGGGUAGCUAUGUCGGGAAGGGAUAAGCGCUGAAAGCAUCUAAGCACGAAACCCACUCCAAGAUUAGAUCUCGUAGGGUCGUGGAAGAUUACCACGUUGAUAGGCUACAGGUGUAAAGGCAGUAAUGUCAUAGCCGAGUAGUACUAAUUACCCAUAGGCUUUCAAAA
rnacentral:rRNA from 1 species